ACUGCAGACAGAAUCAUUGAAAAUAUGAAUUGCACAAUGGAAAAACAGAGCAAGAUCAUGUGUGUCACUUUUGUUUUUUGUCUUUCAGUCAUUCACACGCUCAAUUAUUUCACGACGAUCUCUCAAGUUGCAAAGCUACCAGAGUUCUUGGAGGCCGCGUAUGUUGACGGCGUUCAGAUUCAGCAGUUUGACAGCAACCACAGGGAAACGAAAGCCAAACAUGACUGGGUUAACAAAAUCACAGAAAAUAAUCCGCGCUUCUGGCAGAUAGAGACGGUGAUCAAUAUUCGGAAUGAGCAGAUCAUGAAGGACAACAUUGAAACCGCUAAUAAGCGCUUCAACCAAACUGGAGGUGUUCACAUGAUUCAGGUGAUGAAAGGCUGUGAAUGGGACGAUGAGACGGGUGAGGUUGAUGGUUGGGAGCACUACCGUUACAAUGGAGAAGACUUCCUAUCAUUUGAGGCAAAGACAAUGACAUGGAUGGCAGCACAUUCACAAGCAUUCAUCACCAAAAUCAAGUUGGACCAAAUUGACGGGCUUAAUAAAGUCAAGAAGAUUACCCACACGAAGAUGUGUCCUGUGCUGUUGAAGACACAUUUGAGGAACGGGAGGGACUUCCUGACGAGAACCGAGCUUCCCAAGGUGUUUCUCCUGCAGAAGACGCCUUCCUCUCCGGUCACCUGCCACGCCACAGGUUUCUACCCCAAGACAUCGACCCUCUUUUGGAGGAAGAACGGCGAGGAGAUCCACGAGGACGUGGAGAUGGGGGCGACCCUCCCCAACCACGACGGAACCUUCCAGACCUCGGUCCACCUGAAAGUGGAGGUGACGCCCACCGCGGAGCGAGAGUACGAAUGCGUGUUCCGGCUGGCCAGCAGCCCGGAAGAUAUCGUUAUCACGCUGGACGCCGGAAGCAUCCUGAGCAACGCGCGCAUCCAGGAAGAGCAAGACAGGAAGAAGGCAGUGGCCAUCGCCGUCCCAUUGGUGGUCGUCUGUGUGGUGGCGAUGACCAUGGCGGUGGUGGUGGUGGCGAUGAUCCUUAAAAAGCAUCUCAAAAGAAAACAAGUCAUAUACUCUCAAGCUUGUAAAGAGGAAAAGCCAAAAAGAAAAGAAGAAGAAGAAGAAAAUGUACGAUUAAGUAAGUAAAAGGUUUUCUGCUUCCUUUGAGCCACAAUAACAAGGCAGCCAUGUCAUGUCAAGGUUUGAUUGAAAGCUAAAGUGUCAAUGAGGAGUCGCGUCGAGUAAUGUCAGCUGGGUACUGUGACAAUGUUCACAGGUAUGUUGAUGUCAAGGCCAUUGUUGUGCAAAAAAAGUACUCUAGUGCCCUGAGAUACGAGCCAAAUAUGUUCAGCGACCACACUUGCAAAUGCUUUUUUUUCCUUUGAAAGGAAUGGACAUGACAUUCUUCAUCAAAAUUGUUGUCAUAUGUAAUUUAAAGUCUCGUCGUGUUUGCGCUCUUUUAGCUGUUUCCACCUACUGUGAGUCUGUUUCUGAAUGAGAGGCAGUAGCCGUCACAUGGCGUUGGAAUUCUUUCAGAGGACUUUCUCAUCGCACCGCAUUUGGAAAUCCAGAUGUUUUUUUUCUUCAAAUCAAAAAUAAUUAUGUUUCUCUCAAGUUUCUGCUCAUCACCUACAACCUGAAGACUAUGGCUGGCCCAAGUGGAAAGUCUCUUGUUUAUUCACUUUGGUUUUGUGCAAUUAAACAAAUCAAGUCAGUGGUUACCACCGGUUGAAAGUUACAUCAUGAAAGUUGAUAUCUGGAUGAGUUUGAGCCCUUAAAAACCUUAAGACUCUUUAAUCAAGCAAUUUAUUAUUAUGAAAUACAUUUAAAAAAAUCUAAGAAAAUAGAUCAUAUAUCAGGUAAAUAAUAAAAUAGUGAUGAUUUCAAUAGUUUGAGAAUGUGUUGUAUAUUAUUUUCAUUUUACAGAUUGAGUAAAUUCACACAUACCCUGUCUCGAUUUUAAAGAUUGUUUGAAGGAAAUAAAAACGUUAGAACUGUUACAAUGUAAAA